GGGCUGGGGCUCAGCGGUAGAGCGCUCGCCUAGCACAUGCGAAGCCCUGGGUUCGAUACUCAGCACCACA
rnacentral:tRNA from 1 species